AGCCACUAGCCCAUUAAAGCCCAGUAUCGAAACUCUAGAUUUUCUCACGCGUUGCGAUCAUUUCGUCUCCCUCUUUUCGUUUUCCUUCUUCUUCUACAUUUUCAUCGAUCGAACGACGUUUUGUCUCUCCAUCUUCACUGCAACCGAUCUGUAGAGUAAUCAAUUGUCCGUUUCGGUUUGAUUGAUGGCUUCCUCUCUAUUUAUUUAUAAAUCUCUUCUUUCAUGUUUUUUUUCAAUCAAAACUCUCUCAAUUUGUUAUCGCGAUGAAUUCGAACGGGAAAGCCAUAGUCUCCGGUGAUCCGAUUGUGAAGAAACCAUCAGGUUCUUUUGAUCAAUUGGUGAAAUGAAGUUCGUGAUACCUGCAUAAUCAGAAAUUCCCUGAGAAAAAAACUCUGUUUGUGUUUUGCGUUUAGAAAAACUUACAUCGCCGGAGAUAAAUUGCAUGUGGAUGAUGUGAAGGUUUACUUUGCCGUUGUGGAGAAACCCAGCGAUGCUUUCCCCAGUGCUAGCAAUUGGUACGAUUGCCUUGCUUACCAUCUGCUAAAAGGUGGAUUCGAUACUAGACAAGGAUGAUUACACAUUGGAAGAGCUACUUGACUAGGAAGCAAUCAUCCAAGAAUGCAAAGCUUUAAAUAGCCGUCUCAUUCAUAUUUUAAGGGAUAAAGCUCGAGUGGAGCAACUCUUGCGUUAUGUUGGUGACAUGUUCUAAGUUUCUGCUUGGAAGAAAUCAUAAACUUAAAGAGGGCACCUGCAGCUGAUGACGAUGAUGACAUGGAUUCUUUUGGUGAUGAGACUGAGGAAAAAAAGAAAGCUGCAGAGGAGAAGGAGGGUGCUAAGAAGGACACCAAAAAGCCCAAAGGUUCUCUCUAUGGUUUGGAGAAAAAAAAAACAUAGAGAAACUGAAGGUUAUCAAUAUCAAUCUUUCUUGAGUAUUCUUUAGAAGACGUUUGGAAAGGAAGGAGAGAUAGGCUACGAAACUUGGGUUAUGACAAGAUAUUCUGAUAGAAUAUGCUCUCUAUGAUGAAAGCCUAAUGGAAAAAAGGUACGUCCAUAUUUUGAUCUUCAGUUUCAUUAAUUUUUUUUUUUUAUUAUAUUCCUUGGUUCAUGUUGGGUUUGCUGGCAAGGGAGGAAGAUGAAAAGCGCAGCUGAUCUCACAAGAAGAUUGAUGAAAGCUGAGACAGAUGUGCAACCCGAGGCAUUAAAAGUCUUUUGUUCUUUGGAUUGCACAGUGGUAAACCUCGAAGAUUUGUAUGGCACCCUAGCUACUACACUGGUAAAUUUUGAAGAUUUGUAAGUUGGAAAUUGGAGUUUUUUUUUUUGGAUAUACAAAGGGAGAAUGCUCAUCUUUUAUUAGAGUUAAAAUUUAUAAAUUUGUAAAUGUCCAGAUGACAAUGAUACAUUUUGUCAAAAGAUUUAUGGUAUACUAUUCCCUGUUUUCAUUCGA